rnacentral:rRNA from 1 species
CAUGUCUUUUUGAUUAUAAUUUAAAGUCUGACCUGCCCUAUGAUAGUAAUAUUGAAUGGCCGCGAUAAUUUGAUCGUGCAAAGGUAGCAUAAUAAUUAGUUUUUUAAUUGGGAACUGGAAUGAAAGGUCGAACGAGAAAAAGACUGUCUCAAUUUAAAUUUAAUUAGAAUUUUAUUUUUAAGUUAAAAAGCUUAAAUAUUUUUAAAAGACGAGAAGACCCUAUAGAGUUUUAUAUUUAAUAGUUUUUUAUUUAGUUUAAGAAUUUAAUUUUAGAAUUAAUUAUAAAAUAUUUGGUUGGGGUGAUUAAAAAAUUGAAUAAACUUUUUUUAUUAGAAAAACAUUGAUUUAUGAUUAAUUGAUCCAUUAUUAAUGAUUAUAAGAUUAAAUUACCUUAGGGAUAACAGCGUAAUUUUUUUUGAGAGUUCUUAUCGAAAAAAAAGUUU